rnacentral:rRNA from 1 species
AGAUACCCUGUUACUUAUAAUUAAAAAAUUUUGGAAUAGUAAUAAUAAUGAAAUUUAACGGAUUUGGCGGCAAGAUAGCCAUUUAGAGGAACCUGCCCUAUAAACGAUGAACCACGAAAUACUUUGCUUUUACUUGUUAUCAGUUUGUAUACCGCUGUUGUCAGUCAGCUUUUUCAGAAAUCUUUCUUUAAUGAUAAAAUCAAUUACUUCAAGUAAAGGUGCAGCUUAUGUAAAAGAUAGAGGUGGGUUACAUUUAUAAGAUUAAAACGAAUAAAGAUUUUGAAAAAUCUUUUGAAGGUGGAUUUAAAUGUAAAGUUUAAAAAAACU